AGAUAGAGGCGUGCUCGAAAGAGAGCCGUAACACAGGUGCUGCAUGGCUGUCGUCAGCUCGUGUCGUGAGAUGUUGGGUUAAGUCCCGCAACGAGCGCAACCCUUGUCAUUAGUUGCUACAUUCAGUUGGGCACUCUAAUGAGACUGCCGGUGACAAGCCGGAGGAAGGUGGGGAUGACGUCAAGUCCUCAUGGCCCUUAUAGGUGGGGCUACACACGUCAUACAAUGGCUGGUACAAAGGGUUGCCAACCCGCGAGGGGGAGCUAAUCCCAUAAAGCCAGUCGUAGUCCGGAUCGUAGUCUGCAACUCGACUACGUGAAGUCGGAAUCGCUAGUAGUCGUGGAUCAGAAUGUCACGGUGAAUACGUUCCCGGGUCUU
rnacentral:rRNA from 1 species